GCCUUGCUGGCGGAAGUGGUAGACGCACUGUUCUCAAAAAGCAGGCCGGGCGACCGGGCUCUGGGUUCGAUCCCCAGGUGAGGCA
rnacentral:tRNA from 1 species